AUUGAACGCUGGCGGCAUGCCUUACACAUGCAAGUCGAACGGUAACAGGUCUUCGGAUGCUGACGAGUGGCGAACGGGUGAGUAAUACAUCGGAACGUGCCCGAGAGUGGGGGAUAACGAGGCGAAAGCUUUGCUAAUACCGCAUACGAUCUCAGGAUGAAAGCAGGGGACCGCAAGGCCUUGCGCUCACGGAGCGGCCGAUGGCGGAUUAGGUAGUUGGUGGGAUAAAAGCUUACCAAGCCGACGAUCUGUAGCUGGUCUGAGAGGACGACCAGCCACACUGGGACUGAGACACGGCCCAGACUCCUACGGGAGGCAGCAGUGGGGAAUUUUGGACAAUGGGCGCAAGCCUGAUCCAGCCAUGCCGCGUGCAGGAUGAAGGCCUUCGGGUUGUAAACUGCUUUUGUACGGAACGAAAAGACUCCUUCUAAUAAAGGGGGUCCAUGACGGUACCGUAAGAAUAAGCACCGGCUAACUACGUGCCAGCCGCCGCAGUAAUAC
rnacentral:rRNA from 1 species